rnacentral:rRNA from 1 species
UUGCCUGUUUUUUCAAAAACAUGUCUAUAUGAAGUUAAAUAAAGUCUAUUCUGCCCAUUGAAUAAGUAUUUAAAAGGCCGCAGUAUCCUAACUGUGCAAAGGUAGCAUAAUCAUUAGUUUUUUAAUUGGAGGCUUGUAUGAACGAUUGGACAAGAGCUAAACUGUCUCUUUUUUAAAAAUUGAAUUUUAUUAUUAAGUGAAAAAGCUUAAAUGUUUAAGAAGGACGAUAAGACCCUAUAAAUCUUUAUAAAAGUAAGUUUUUAAAUAAAAAUAUUUAUUUAAAACAUUUAGAAGCUUAAAUUAUUAUGCUGGGGCGGUGUUAAUAUAAAAUAAACUGUUAAUAAGUAAAAACAAAUAUAUUUGAAAUUAAAAGAUCCUUUUUAUGGAUUUAAAGAAAAAGUUACUUUAGGGAUAACAGCAUAAUUUCUUUUGAGAGUUCAAAUCGAAAAAGAAGUUUGUGACCUCGAUGUUGAAUUAAGAAUUCCUUAUGGUGCAGCAGUUAUAAAGGAAAGUCUGUUCGACUUUUAAAUUCUUACAUGAUUUGAGUUCAGACCGGCGUGAGCCAGGUUGGUUUUCUAUCUA